rnacentral:tRNA from 4 species
AGGGGUAUAGCUCAGUUGGUAGAGCAGCGGAUUCCAAAUCCGCAGGUCGGGAGUUCGAGCCUCUCUGCCCCUGCCG